AGCGAACGCUGGCGGCAGGCCUAACACAUGCAAGUCGAACGAAGUCUUCGGACUUAGUGGCGGACGGGUGAGUAACACGUGGGAACGUGCCUUUAGGUUCGGAAUAACUCAGGGAAACUUGUGCUAAUACCGAAUGUGCCCUUCGGGGGAAAGAUUUAUCGCCUUUAGAGCGGCCCGCGUCUGAUUAGCUAGUUGGUGAGGUAAAGGCUCACCAAGGCUACGAUCAGUAGCUGGUCUGAGAGGAUGACCAGCCACAUUGGGACUGAGACACGGCCCAAACUCCUACGGGAGGCAGCAGUGGGGAAUCUUGCGCAAUGGGCGAAAGCCUGACGCAGCCAUGCCGCGUGAAUGAUGAAGGUCUUAGGAUUGUAAAAUUCUUUCACCGGGGACGAUAAUGACGGUACCCGGAGAAGAAGCCCCGGCUAACUUCGUGCCAGCCGCCGCGGUAACAC
rnacentral:rRNA from 1 species